UCGUGGAUCGAUUUGUCUGGUUUAUUCCGAUAACGAGCGAGACUCUAGCCUACUAACUAGUGCGGGCAUUGCCUCUGUGCCUGUCACUUCUUAGAGGGAUCAGCUGCAUCUAAGCAGCACGAAAUUGAGCAAUAACA
rnacentral:rRNA from 1 species